CUACGGGAUGCACCAGUGGGGAAUAUUGGACAAUGGAGGCAACUCUGAUCCAGCAAUUUCGUGUGUGUGAUGAAGGUCUUCGGAUUGUAAAGCACUUUCAAUAGGGAAGAAACAAAUGACGGUACCUAUAGAAGAAGCACCGGCUAAUUACGUGCCAGCAGCCGCGGUAAGACGUAAGGUGCAAGCGUUAUCCGGAAUCACUGGGCGUAAAGGGCGUCUAGGCGGCAAUGCAAGCCAGGGGUGAAAAGUCUGGGCUCAACCGAGGCCUUGCCUUUGAAACUGCAUAGCUAGAGUACGGGAGAGGAGGGCGGAACUACAAGUGUAGCGGUGACAUGCGUAGAUAUUUGUAGGAAUGCCGAUGUCGAAGGAAGCUCUCUGGACCGAUACUGACGCUGAAGCGCGAAAGCUAGGGGAGCAAACAGGAUUAGAUACCCGCGUAGUC
rnacentral:rRNA from 1 species